CAAGUCGAACGCGAAAGGGACUUCGGUCCUGAGUAAAGUGGCGCACGGGUGAGUAACGCGUAGAUAACCUGUCUUUAUGUCUGGAAUAAUACGCCGAAAGGGGUACUAAUACCGGAUAUUUUUGCAUUGCAUAAGCAGUGUAAGCAAAGGUGGCCUCUGACAUAAGCUACUGCAUAAAGAGGGGUCUGCGUACCAUUAGCUAGUAGGUGGGGUAAAGGCCUACCUAGGCUACGAUGGUUAGCGGGUCUGAGAGGAUGAUCCGCCACACUGGCACUGGAACACGGGCCAGACUCCUACGGGAGGCAGCAGUGAGGAAUAUUGCGCAAUGGGGGCAACCCUGACGCAGCGACGCCGCGUGAAGUGAGGAAGGCCUUCGGGUCGUAAAGCUCUGUCAAAGGGAAAGAAGUGCAUGGUGGUUAAUACCUGCCAUGUUUGACGGUACCCUUAAAGGAAGCACCGGCUAACUCCGUGCCAGCCGCCGC
rnacentral:rRNA from 1 species